rnacentral:rRNA from 1 species
GUCGAACGCUGGCGGCGUGCCUAAUACAUGCAAGUCGAACGCUGAAGAGAGGAGCUUGCCCUUCUUGGAUGAGUUGCGAACGGGUGAGUAACGCGUAGGUAACUUGUCUUGUAGCGGGGGAUAACGAUUGGAAACGAUAGCUAAUAUAGCAUAACAAUGGAUGACCCAUGUAUUUUAUUUGAAAGGGCCAACUGAUGCACUACAAGCUGGAUCUGCGUUGGAUUAGCUAGUAGGUGAGGUAACGGCUCACCUAGGCGGCGAUACAGAGCCGACCUUAGAGGGAGAUCGGCCACACUUGGACUUAGACACGGCCCAGACUCCCACGGGAGGCAGCAGUAGGGGAACUUCGGAAAUUGGGGCAACGCUGACCGAGCAACGCCGCGGGGGGGAAGAAGGGUUUCGGAUCGUAAAACUCUGUUGUAAGUCAAGAACGAGUGUGAGGGUGGAAAGUUCACGCUUUGACGGUAGCUUACCAGAAAGGGGCGGCUAACUACGUG